rnacentral:rRNA from 1 species
UGGGGAAUAUUGCACAAUGGAGGGAACUCUGAUGCAGCGACGCCGCGUGAACGAAGAAGGCUUUCGAGUCGUAAAGUUCUUUUAUAUGGGAAGAUAAUGACGGUACCAUAAGAAGAAGCCCCGGCUAACUACGUGCCAGCAGCCGCGGUAAUACGUAGGGGGCUAGCGUUGUCCGGAAUCACUGGGCGUAAAGGGUUCGCAGGCGGAAAUGCAAGUCAGGUGUAAAAGGCAGUAGCUUAACUACUGUAAGCAUUUGAAACUGCAUAUCUUGAGAAGAGUAGAGGUAAGUGGAAUUUUUAGUGUAGCGGUGAAAUGCGUAGAUAUUAAAAAGAAUACCGGUGGGGAAGGCGACUUACUGGGCUCAUUCUGACGCUGAGGAACGAAAGCGUGGGUAGCAAACAGG